rnacentral:tRNA from 1 species
GCCUGGAUGGCUCAGUUGGUUGAGUGUCUGACUUUGGCUCAGGUCAUGAUCUCACGGUCUGUGGGUUUGAGUCCCACAUUGGUCU